CAGUAGUUCUAGGGAUUUCUGGGAAUUUUUCGUGGGCAAUUAGUGGGGAUCAGUGGGAGAAUCAUGUAUAGCUUUGUCAUACCUUUCCAACGAGUACUUAUGCGCUCGAUUCGGAGUUAUAAUUUAGGAGAUAUCGUUGUUUAAAUCCGGUUAUGUUGCUGUCCAAAAAAACAGAUUUUUCAGGUGGGUGAACAGCAGUAGUAUUAGCAGUUUCUGGGAAAUUUUCGUGGGUAAUUAGUGUUAACCAGUAUUAUAAUCAUGUAGGGCUUUGUCUUAUCUUUCCAAUGAGUACUUAUGCGCUUGAUUUGGAAUUAUAUUUUAAAAGAUAUCGCUGUUUGAAUCCGGGUAUGUCGCUGUCCAAAAGACAAAAAAAAAACAGAUUACAGGGUUCAUCUUAUGGACUGUUUUGGGCUAAUUAGAUGUUGGAAUUUAAUUAUAAAUUGUAUACAAAACUUGUGGGGAAUUUUAUGUAGAUGACUCUGGAGUUUUUGUUUGUUACCACUGCCGUCAUAAUUUUAAAGUUAUGAAAUUAUUAAGCAGCGCCGCUGCAGUUUGGUGGGUGUGGGGAGAUAUGUAAUCCGCGGCGGGGUUUGAGUUUGUGCGUAGUUGCGGCGUCGUUUAUGAGCCUGAUUAUGUGAAAUUGGUGCACUAAGUUGUGUGUCAAAAAACAGGUGGUGGACUUCCGGAUCGUACUUAGGGAUUUGCCCGAACUUCCGGUAAAGGCAAGUAAAUAUAGUGGUGGUUGCUACCGUUUUGGUUUGCAUCCUAUUCCCUGUCAUUGAGUAUGCAUAAGUUUUAAUUAUGUUAAUCAUUGGAUUCUAUGAUGAAGUUUAUUUGUUUGGAAGUAUUAAUUCUCAAUUGUCUAAUAUGGUGGAUGAUCAUAAUUUGGUUAUGAUAUAUGUGGUUGAUUCCCAUCUUGGAUGAAGUUGAAGUAUUUUUUGAAUCACGUUAUAUGAAGUGUUGUAGGCAUGACAUGCACAUCGCAUCAUCCAUCUUGCAUUUUGAAGUUAUGUCGUGAUCUUAUGGUCCGACCGUACCGGUACAUUUUUAGCAUCGUACGUUGCCCGAGGAGGGGUACGAUGCGGCUUCAUAUCCUUAGAGGUAUGAAGGCAGAAGUCAUCCUUGCAUUUGCAGACAUUUGCACUCAUGAGGUAUAUAUGAAGUGUGACAUUACUAUGUUACUAUUGUGGUUUCUACCUGCGAGGUGUGGUGACUACGUGUGUUGUACGUUGUAUACGUGUUGCACCGUCGUAAUAAGAAAAUUGUGGAAUCAAGUGGUGGUAAAACAAUGUUCUUAUGUGGUUAAACAGUUUGAUAUUAUUUUACUUGCUGAGAUGUGUCAUCUCACUCUUGCAUUACUCAAUGCAUACAUGUUGGGAAUGAGGGGAGUAGCAGCACGUCCACUUUCACUCUCACAAUAACGUUGCCCAGGCAUAGCCAUGAUUUAAUUAGAAACUUAUUGUCAAAGGAAGUUUGUUUCUUUUAACUAGUCGUGCGCACUAGUUAAUUCAGUUCAUGUCGUAUGUUUAACUUCUCUUUGCUAGCCGAUUAAUAAUACUUAGUAUGUUUUUGUCAUGAUAUGUGUUUAUACACUGUUGCCCCCCUCAUUUAUGCAAUUUUGCAAAGGGGGUGCUGCCGAAAUUUUAUAUAUAGAUGUCAGAAGUGUUAUUCAGUAGCAUUCCGGGGUGUUACAGUUGGUAUCAGAGGAUAGGCUUUAGAUUCUACGCAAUUUGAAGAUAAAUUUAACACACUUGCACAUAUAGGAAGGGUAUGAGUUCGUAUAUCUUUCAUAUUAGUAUUUUAUUGUAUAGAUGACUAGAAUUCCCUUACUCCAAAUCCCUUUAUGGUUUGAUGGGGUAUGUCGUUAACGACUUAAUGUUUGAUAUGAUAUGUUACUUCUAAUUAAUAUUGGUUUCUUGAUGUGGUUGUUAUUGAAGUUAUUAUGCAAGUGAAGCUACUAAUGUACUUGUUUUGUAUACAUAUCGUCAUGAUGUUUUUUAUGCGAUGUUUUUCAAAUCUUUGAGCUAUUACUAUCAUAUAUUUCUAUAUGCUUGAUUGUGGUUGUUUUUUUAAAUGGAAUUUUUGGGGUUCUAGUACUUGUAGGACCGAUUGUUUAUUGAGUCUGUGUAUAGUGGGUCUAAUCCGGCUUGGUGUGGUGUGAAAACACUAUAUAAUGUAGUUUUAUCAUGUUGUUGGGUCUGAUUGAAUGUUGGGCUACAACCCAACUUAUCAAUGUAAUAUUUCCAUGGAGGCAAUGCUUUGCGCCUCACUUUUUUUAGGCUAGUGUGGCUACUUGCUAACUUGAUCUUAGUAUAAAAUUGGUUUGUCUCUCUAGAGCAGAGGCAACGUUGUAAUGUCUAUGAAAUCUUUAGACUGGUAGAACUCGAGUGAAUUUGUGAGAUGACGUAGAUUGAUAAGUCCAACCAUGUCUACCUGAUAGGUUUUCUUAUUAUGGGCAACCUUAUUUUUAACAAUAAAUAGGGUGGUUUCAAGUGGAUUUUAUGUCGUGCAUGUUUUCCUUCUAUGGCUUGUUUCAAUAGCCAUAAAGGCUAUGCAUAAUUUUUAGUUGUUGCAGGCUAGUCAUGUGGGCGAUAUUGACAACCCAUUUUAUAUUUUUUAUUUGCAACAUUGUACUACUUUGAAUGCAUCCUAUGAUAUCACGAGGUACAAAUUGUUCAAGUGCAGUAAUAGUAGGUUUUGUUGUAUGUGAGGUUAAUCAAGGUAGUUUGGUUAUGUGGGUUGUCUUAUUGACGUCCAAUUACUCCUGUUGAGCAUAAUAUCAUGUUAUUAUUUUAGUAUUGAAAGUAAUAUUUAUGAAGCUUUUGCAUGAGUCUAUGUCAAGAAGUACAUUAGUUUUCUUGUUGUUAUCCCUCCAUUGCUUUAUGAGUGUUGCAAAUUUUAUCUCUUUUGAGAGGAGAAAAAGACGUUAUAUGACAUGAGCACCAUUUGCUUCACAUCAACAGAAUAGUUGCGGAGAUCUCUAGUAGUUGAAUUCUGGUGUAAUAACAACCAUGGUUUAUAGUGCUAGAGACGAGUAUGUCAGGUGUUUCGUACAUUGUCGCUACAUGGAUGUUUGACCUUAGUGGCAUUAACAAACGAGGUUGUUGAAUUCGUUAAUUGUUAUGCUUAGUGUUCUAACCUAUUAGGUAAAGUGUUGUUUAAAGACUUUGGGGAGUUGCAUCCCCAUUUGGUAGUGGGAAACCCUAGUGUUGAUUGCACCUGCCAAUGCCUUGGGUUUCAUUUUAUAUUGUUUUUUUAUUGUGGUUAAGGUGUUGCUUGGUUUUGGGAGUCAUUUUAAAUUAGUUGGAGGCUGAAUCAGGCUUCACUUAUCUAGAAUGUUUUGUAGUAGGUUUCUUCAUGUUUGCAUAUGAUGCUUAAUCAUCCAGUUUGGUCUAAACAUUUGAGAGUUAUGGGUUUCCUAUAGCAGCCUUAAUUUUGUACGGAAGAAUAGACCUUGAAGAUGGUAUAAUUUGGCCUUUGUUAGAUUAUGAAAGUUUUAGUAAUUUCAUGAUCUUUCCAAAGAGUAUUGGUUUGUAAUUUUCAUUGUAUAUAAUUGGAGUUAGGCUGCUCUGAAGUUGUUGCACCGUUGUGUCUGAACUUUAGGUGUCGUUAUAACCACCAAUAAAUCGACCGUGUUUUGAUAGUUUCAUAGCCCAAAUUUGGGAAUUCUCUUUAAGCAAAACUUUAGUUCUUCUCAGUACCUUUUAAAUGGGUAUUUACUUGUAAUUGUCUGUUAAAUAGAUUGGGAGAGGUGGUUGUCCGGUUAUAAGUCGAAUCUCCAAUGUGCAGUAUCUCGGGCUGAGUUUAGCUGUAGGUCAUGUAGAGUUGAUGGCUAUAAAGAUAAAUUUGGGUGCAACUUUAUUGCAAAAGUCAUGGACAAUUUUCAAACUUUUCCAACGCGUGUUCGUUGUAGUUUUAAGUUGAGUAUAGGAGGAGUUAUAGGUUUUUGAAUUUUAGUUGUCCAUUGUUUCCAUCCUAUCAGUUUUGCAACAAAAGAGUUACAUUAUUUUAUCGGUUUGAAAACCAAUUUCGAGACACUCAUUAUAAUAAAAGUUUUACAGAAUGUUAUAAUCUUUUCAAUGGGUUUAUAUUUGCAAAAUUUUGUUAAGCUGCAGGGAGUUAUGAUAUUUUGAAUUUAUGUGUCAUGUUUCGUCAGUUUCUGGUGGCAGAUCAUGUAUGUCGCCUUACAAGUCAAAUUAAAAAUGGUAGAUGGAAAAAAAUGUUUAUCUUUUGAAUACGAAAGUUGUAGAUCAUGAAGUUUAGAUGAUUUUACAAUAUUUCAUUGUUACCAUUGCUUUUAUAGUGAGAGGUAGAAAAAAUGAACAUUUGUGCUUUUGAUUGUCAAUUUUCUACUUAGUGAUUUUUUUCAUGGGAGUUUGGUUUAGGUGUGGUGAGCUCUUUCGCAAUCCAUGUUAAUUAAGUUGUAUGGUGGGAGGGAAUAGACGUAGUGGUUGGGAUGGUUAUCUUGUUUAUGUAUAUGUGGAGCGUGGGCUGGAACACAGAGAUAGCAAGGAACGUUUGAAUAGGCCAGUACGUAUUGUUGUGAAGCCACAUUUUCUUGUAUUGGCGUGAUUGCGUAAGUAUGAAAUAGUUACGUCAUGUGAAGUCUAGGUUGAGAUGCAAUUUGUCUGAGUUAUUCGAUAGAUAUAUGUAUAGUAUAAUUAAAAAAAGAGAGUUCCUAUAUGGGAUGAUAUAAUGUAUAGAAUGUGCUUGGAUGAAUAUGUGGGCAGGCCUAACAUGCUUAAACAGAUUCCUGUUUGCAUGAUGUGAGAUUAGGCUUAAAUGGUUUAAAAAGUUAUCAUAUUGUUUCUAUACUUAUAUUUGUUCUAAGUAUCUCGUAAUGAAGAACCUAAAGUUAUUAGUCUUUCGAUGAACGCUUAAUCUUAGAAGAGUAAUGAACCUGAAUAAAAUCUAUUGCUUGUUGUUGGGUCUGCAUGACCAGUUUUAGUUAUGCAGCUAGUUCAAUGAAGUAAACCAUCUUUUCUGUAGAGAUGUUAUAUAUAAAAGUUGUAGCCGACUUCUUUAUCUUACUUGUGUAAAAAAUUCAUGACCAUAGGUCUAGUAGUUUGGGAGUUAUGAUUUUCUCAAGUCCAGUCUUGGAAUCUGUGCAGAUUCUGUACAGAUUUCGAAACUGACCUUGUUUGCCCAAUUUAAACUUCGAAUAACUUAUUAUAAAUUAUAAAGAAGUUGUAGUACCUUUCUUAAUCUUUUCAACAAACUUUGGAUCACCCUUUUUGGAGAUCUAUAAGUAAAGUUACGGCUGUUUUAAGUGUGAUCUCUGAAUCUGUCUAAAUUUGGACAGCAGAGCCUUUCUCAUGUCUUUUGACCUUGAUAUGCAUUGAAUUAACCUGAUAUGUUUAUAAAUGAAUUAUAGACAAUUAUACUAGCUUUCUAAAAAGUCUAGGAGCACCUGAAUUGGAUGUCUGAGACUUCAAUUAUGAAUUUUUGAAUUGAGUAGUUGAAUUCUGUCCAAGUCUGGACAGAAUUUACGUUUAGCAUUGUUUGACCUUUCUAAGUGUCAAAUCUUGCUGUGAAGAUAAUACCAAGGGUAUAGUGGACUUUAUAAGCUUUCCAUAAAGUCCUAGUUUAUUAUGUUUGGAUGCUUAUUUUAUGAGUUAUGAACAAAACAAUUAACCAUUGUGCUGCUAUCCAAAAAUAUGCAAGCAUUAAGUUACUCUCUUGAAGUUGCUCUUGUUUGGCUAAGUUUGGUUUAGGCUAUAGGAAUACUAUAUGCAGUGCAUUCAUAUAUACAUUCCUUGAAGUACUUGCAUAUGUCAAUGAUUGAUUUGGUGUCAGGAAAACUUUGUUUGAGGUAUAUAGGACCGUCUACUAUCUUAGCCGAGUUGGCAGCUGGGCUUAGCAUAUGCAAUUGUCGAAAUCUAUGAUCAGAGUACACCAUGUAUUCCAUGUCUUUAUGUGGAGGAGGUAUUUGCGGAAUCCAGACCAUCAAAUCGAGCUAGAGCCGAUUCCUGUGUAGCAAGACCAGACUCUAGAGUGUCGUCUGCUGCGUAUCUAAGAAUCCUAGGAGCUUGAGGAGCUGAUGCGGUAGAAGUACCCGAACUUUUCUUUAUGUGUGAGUUUUGUUGGUUCAUUAAUCUUUCCUUUGUCGUUCCGAUAGAAGCAUCGGAAUUCGAGGUCAAAUUCUUUAUAAGGGGGAUAGAGUGUGAUACCCAAUUUUCAAAAAGAAGAGAAAUUGAAGUUUACUCUUUUUUUUCUUUUCUUUGUUUUCUCUUGCGGGUCCCGUGCUAUGGGAGGUUUGGAAUUUUAGGAGGUAAACAUCUGUAAAACAGUAAAAUUUAUGUUUGAUGUGUGCGCGGGGGUCGAGAGCUCUGGCGUAGGAAUGGUUUUGGGCCGUUGAUCGCGAUCCGGCGGUGGGAAGCCCACUUUUCCCCCCAAAACCCUAGCCGCCCCCUCUCUUAAGGCCCCUUGUGGGCAGCCGCCCCCCCCUUCCCUCCUUUGGCCGUCACCCUCCCCCCUCUUCCCUCUUCUCUCUUCCCCAAGUGCUGCAGCCGCCCCCUCUCCAUUCUCAAGUUUUUUGCAGCAGCCAUCUCCUCAACCAUAGCCGCCACCCCCCAUCUCCUCUUCUCCAAGUGUCGUUCUUCCUCGUCGGAUCUUCUUCGUGUGGGUGCAAGUUUCAAUUGGAGAAUUGGUGGGAGGAAGGAAGGAGGAAAAAGGUGGAACUCAAGGUGAUCUUGAAGUUAUCUAUGUUUUUGCGCUAAAAUUCAAUUGAUUAUAUGUUUAUCUAUGCGAAUCGGUAGAGGUGCUGUCCAGAAUUUUUGUGGGAGGGCGAACAACAGUAGUUCUAGGGAUUUCUGGGAAUUUUUCGUGGGCAAUUAGUGGGGAUCAGUGGGAGAAUCAUGUAUAGCUUUGUCAUACCUUUCCAACGAGUACUUAUGCGCUCGAUUCGGAGUUAUAAUUUAGGAGAUAUCGUUGUUUAAAUCCGGUUAUGUUGUUGUCCAAAAAAAACAGAUUUUUCAGGUGGGUGAACAGCAGUAGUAUUAGCAGUUUCUGGGAAAUUUUCGUGGGUAAUUAGUGUUAACCAGUAUUAUAAUCAUGUAGGGCUUUGUCUUAUCUUUCC
rnacentral:lncRNA from 1 species